rnacentral:tRNA from 1 species
CGGGGGCCUGCCGGCCGGGCGGGACGGGGCUUGUCGGGACCCGAUGCCUCCGGCGCGGCGGGGGCGGGCUUGUCGGAGCCGGGUGCCUCCGGCC